UUACUUACCUGGCAGGGGAGACACCACAAUCAUGAAGAUAGUUUUCCCAGGGUGAGGCUCAUCCAUUGCACUCUGGGUGUGCUGUCCCCUGCGAUUCCCCAAAUGCGGGAAACCCAACUGCAUAAUUUGUGGUAGUGGGGGACCGCUUUCCACUA
rnacentral:snRNA from 1 species